rnacentral:rRNA from 1 species
ACGAACGCUGGCGGCACGCUUAACACAUGCAAGUCGAACGAGAGAAGAGGAGCUUGCUUUUCUGAUCUAGUGGCGGACGGGUGAGUAACACGUGAGCAAUCUGCCUUUCAGAGGGGGAUACCGAUUGGAAACGAUCGUUAAUACCGCAUAACAUAAUUGAACCGCAUGAUUUGAUUAUCAAAGAUUUAUCGCUGAAAGAUGAGCUCGCGUCUGAUUAGCUAGUUGGUAAGGUAACGGCUUACCAAGGCGACGAUCAGUAGCCGGACUGAGAGGUUGAUCGGCCACAUUGGGACUGAGACACGGCCCAGACUCCUACGGGAGGCAGCAGUGGGGAAUAUUGCACAAUGGAGGAAACUCUGAUGCAGCGAUGCCGCGUGAGGGAAGAAGGUUUUAGGAUUGUAAACCUCUGUCUUCAGGGACGAAAAAAGACGGUACCUGAGGAGGAAGCUCCGGCUAACUACGUGCCAGCAGCCGCGGUAAUACGUAGGGAGCGAGCGUUGUCCGGAAUUACUGGGUGUAAAGGGAGCGUAGGCGGGAUCGCAAGUCAGAUGUGAAAACUAUGGGCUUAACCCAUAAACUGCAUUUGAAACUGUGGUUCUUGAGUGAAGUAGAGGUAAGCGGAAUUCCUAGUGUAGCGGUGAAAUGCGUAGAUAUUAGGAGGAACAUCAGUGGCGAAGGCGGCUUACUGGGCUUUAACUGACGCUGAGGCUCGAAAGCGUGGGGAGCAAACAGGAUUAGAUACCCUGGUAGUCCACGCCGUAAACGAUGAUUACUAGGUGUGGGGGGACUGACCCCUUCCGUGCCGCAGCAAACGCAAUAAGUAAUCCACCUGGGGAGUACGACCGCAAGGUUGAAACUCAAAGGAAUUGACGGGGGCCCGCACAAGCAGUGGAGUAUGUGGAUUAAUUCGAAGCAACGCGAAGAACCUUACCAGGUCUUGACAUCGUAUGCAUAGCUCAGAGAUGAGUGAAAUCUCUUCGGAGACAUAUAGACAGGUGGUGCAUGGUUGUCGUCAGCUCGUGUCGUGAGAUGUUGGGUUAAGUCCCGCAACGAGCGCAACCCUUACUGUUAGUUGCUACGCAAGAGCACUCUAGCAGGACUGCCGUUGACAAAACGGAGGAAGGUGGGGAUGACGUCAAAUCAUCAUGCCCCUUAUGACCUGGGCCUCACACGUACUACAAUGGCUGUUAACAGAGGGAUGCAAAGCCGCGAGGUGGAGCGAACCCCUAAAAGCAGUCUUAGUUCGGAUUGUAGGCUGCAACCCGCCUACAUGAAGUCGGAAUUGCUAGUAAUCGCAGAUCAGCAUGCUGCGGUGAAUACGUUCCCGGGCCUUGUACACACCGCCCGUCACGCCAUGGGAGUCGGUAACACCCGAAGCCUGUAGUCUAACCGCAAGGAGGACGCAGUCGAAGGUGGGAUUGAUGACUGGGGUG